rnacentral:tmRNA from 1 species
GGGGGUGCGUGGCUUCGAUUCUGUGGAUCGAGGCGGGGGAAGCGAGCCGACGUCCCCGGAUCGUCGUCAAAGAGCCGGGAACACCGAUACAUGCCGAGGACAACCUCGCACUCGCUGCCUGACCUAGUCAGUUAGCGCGUCUGUUCCGGCCCGGCCGCUCGGCCGGAUCGCAGGCGUCAUGCAGAGCGGCUCACCGUCGGGGCGUGCCCGGGCCCCCGGCGGGACACCUGACCGGGCUGGGGUCGCCAUCGGGUGCCGAUGACCGGUGACGACCCGAGAUCUCCCCAUCGGCUGCGCUCGGAGAAGCCCCGCCGAGGACGCGGAAGACGCGGGUUCGACUCCCGCCACCUCCACCG